rnacentral:rRNA from 1 species
UACGGGGGGGCAAGCGUUGUUCGGAAUUACUGGGCGUAAAGGGCUCGUAGGCGGCCAACUAAGUCAGACGUGAAAUCCCUCGGCUUAACCGGGGAACUGCAUCUGAUACUGGAUGGCUUGAGUUCGGGAGAGGGAUGCGGAAUUCCAGGUGUAGCGGUGAAAUGCGUAGAUAUCAGGAAGAACACCGUGGCGAAGGCGGCUCCUCUGGGACGGUACUGACGGCUGAGACGCGAAAGCGUGGGGAGCGAACAGG